AGAAUGUAGUAGCAGAGUUGGGAUUCGACAUGACAGACAACAACUCCUUUCAUCCAAAGCAGCUGACCACGUGACGAUGCACGCGGUAACUCACCAUUAGACUCAAAAGUGGGGGUGCAACUGUUGGGAUAAACCGACCGUCCCCAUAAACCGACUGAUCUCUAGUGCAGACUGACUGACAUCCGACUCUGACCCCACAAACAGAUAUGACUCAGGUCAACCGACUAUCGAUUUCGACUCAACAACAACCGACCGACCAAACAUACAACCCCGACCGACUCUACAUCGGCUGAUUAUGCGAUUCCGACUCUUCAUCGAUCAACUUAGUGAAUUGCACCAACCUAUUACUGGCUGACCGACUAAUGAUUCGACUAUUAUUGAUCAACAACGGACGACUUAGAUCAUCGGCAUAAUAGAACUACUAACCGACGGUCGCUCAUGGAUUCUACCGACAUAUGGUCGGCCAGUCAAUCCAAAUAUACCAUAACCGUCACAAACGAUUACCGCCGCAUAUCACGGUGCGAACAGUGGGAGUUAAUGAUCCACAACGUAAUUAUAAAAUGCAGAACCAUAUCCGAUGGUUACAACUAUCUUCUAUAUAAAAAUGGGGUAAG
rnacentral:lncRNA from 1 species